rnacentral:rRNA from 1 species
GUAUGCUUAACACAUGCAAGUCGAACGGAGCUUUUCGGAGCUUAGUGGCGGACGGGUGAGUAACGCGUGAGAAUCUGCCUUUUGGACCGGGACAACUGCGGGAAACGGCAGCUAAGACCGGAUGUGCCUUCGGGUGAAAUAUUCAUAGCCAAAAGAGGAGCUCGCGACCGAUUAGCUAGUUGGUGGGGUAAGAGCCUACCAAGGCUGCGAUCGGUAGCCGGUUUGAGAGGACGACCGGCCACACUGGGACUGAGACACGGCCCAGACUCCUACGGGAGGCAGCAGUGGGGAAUUUUCCGCAAUGGGCGAAAGCCUGACGGAGCAAUACCGCGUGAGGGAGGAAGGCUCUUGGGUCGUAAACCUCUUUUCUCAGGGAAGAAGCAAUGACGGUACCUGAGGAAUCAGCAUCGGCUAACUCCGUGCCAGCAGCCGCGGUAAUACGGAGGAUGCAAGCGUUAUCCGGAAUGAUUGGGCGUAAAGCGUCCGCAGGUGGCACAUCAAGUCUGCUGUCAAAGCCCCCAGCUUAACUGGGAAGAGGCGGUGGAAACUGGUGAGCUAGAGAGCAAUAGGGGUAGAGGGAAUUCCCGGUGUAGCGGUGAAAU